AAACAAGCCCUGAACACGUUCUGAGACCUUCUGGCAUGGCAUGGAGCCCAACACUGGCGCAACAUUUUGUAACACUUACGGUAAAAAGUGGAAGGAAAAGUAACCAAAUUAACAAAACAAAACCCACUGCUAAACUUAACACUAUUUGGAACACCGAGUUGCCAUAACAACUUGGUGCAAAAGUGUUUGGCAGCAACUUUGUGCUCGGUGCCAUUGAGGCUAAAAUAACCUUACUCUUGUGUUAAUACUUAGCCAGCAUAGUAAAUACUAUUGGUUACAGAAAAUUAAAACUUUUAAAUAGUGAAACUACUUUUACUGAAGUAAAAGAAACCUCUUAAAUCUAAGUGUUUUUCUCCUUUUAAAAAAGCAUAAUUUGUCAGACAUUAAAAUAACAAAAGGUCUUUGAAAAAGGAUUAUGGUUUCUGAUGUUUCACUACGAGAAUGGAUUUACUUUAUAUCCCACUGAUGUUGUAAUCUUGAAUUCUGAGGUAAUGUUUUAGCCCUUUCUUUUCAUAUAAAUAAAGAUUUCAAUGAUAGCACUUCAUUUCUUCUGUAGACCUUUCCUUUCUUUUUUCAAACUACUCAUUUUCUCUUGCUUCAACCAUUUCAUCCGAAUAACAUACAAAUUGGAUGCAGUGCUUAUUAGGAGGAGGGGAGCGGUUAGAAAGGCAAAGCAUUUCAAAUCAACGCACUGCUGGCUGCUAGGUAGAUUUUAAAUGGAGAAUUUCCAUGCUGUAUGUUUGCCUUUAUGGCUUGCUGCUUAAGAAAGUCUUGUUUUGGAAAUUUCCCAUUGAAACAUAUAGAUGUGUAUUUUUUUUUAGUACAGUGCGUUGUGCUUAUAUAUAUAUAAUGUGUAUAUAUAUAUAACAUAUACACACAGGUAUAAUUUGUAAAUUCCUUUAAGCACAUUACUCUGUGGAGCACAAUUAUUGACCAUCAGUAUGAAGCGCUGGUUUUAAAGAAUGGAAAGGUAUAUUUUAGCACUGCUAAUCGUCCCUCCUUGAUAAACAGCACCGUAUGUAUCUCUUUGGGUAGCGGAUGUUUUAACUAACAGAGUAUCUUUAAAAAGUCCAAAAUUCCACACCUUCUCUGUAAUUAAAUCCACUUCUUACACUCAGUUGGGUUUGUUUUUGUGGAGCAGAUGUCCUCAGUGAGAGGAAUUGCUUACAAGAGGGAUUUAUUGACAUGAGAAGCAUCGAGGGGGUUUCUCAUUUGAAAACUGAUGACAGGAAAACUGGGUUUUGGUUCAAGGCUGUCGGAAUUGUUCUCUGGGGGAGAACUGCUCUGUCAGUCAUCUUUCUUUUUCUUUCUUUCGUUCUGAAUGAGAUACAGAGUAGAGGAUGAGGUGCUCGUGGGUCUCCAGCAGGAUAUCACUGUGUGAGCUGAAAGAGUGCGAGAAGACCAGCCGGGCUCAUAGCGGGAGGCUUUAUGGAGCUACAGGAAAGCUGCGCCCAGGAUGGUGCAGGAUCUGAUGAUGGAAAAUGUUAAUCACUUCAAGGAGCGGUUAGGCAAGCGAGCCAAGCCAGAGAGAACUAACAACCUGAGUGUGCACUUCAGGGCUGUGCUUUCAGAAAGUGAACGACCAAAAAGCUCACAUGGAAUUUGUAGUAAACGCAGCUAUUAAGAUUACACACAAUGAUAUUAAAAUAAAAAGAGGAGAGAGAAAGCAGUGGUUGUCCACUGGAGGACUUCUCUCAAAAUUACUGUAGUGACUUA